GAUGAACGCUGGCGGCGUGCCUAAUACAUGCAAGUCGAGCGAACGGACGAGAAGCUUGCUUCUCUGAUGUUAGCGGCGGACGGGUGAGUAACACGUGGAUAACCUACCUAUAAGACCGGGAUAACUUCGGGAAACCGGAGCUAAUACCGGAUAAUAUUUUGAACCGCAUGGUUCAAAAGUGAAAGACGGUCUUGCUGUCACUUAUAGAUGGAUCCGCGCUGCAUUAGCUAGUUGGUAAGGUAACGGCUUACCAAGGCAACGAUGCAUAGCCGACCUGAGAGGGUGAUCGGCCACACUGGCACUGAGACACGGUCCAGACUCCUACGGGAGGCAGCAGUAGGGAAUCUUCCGCAAUGGGCGAAAGCCUGACGGAGCAACGCCGCGUGAGUGAUGAAGGUCUUCGGAUCGUAAAACUCUGUUAUUAGGGAAGAACAUAUGUGUAAGUAACUGUGCACAUCUUGACGGUACCUAAUCAGAAAGCCACGGCUAACUACGUG
rnacentral:rRNA from 1 species